GGGCCUGUAGCUCAGCUAGGUAGAGCAUCUGGCUUUUAACCAGGUGGCCAGGGGUUCGAAUUUGGCUGGCGACGGGCCGCCAAUAGAAAAUCCCCUCAGGCCCG
rnacentral:tRNA from 1 species